GCUUCUAUAGCUCAACGGUAGAGCGUGAUACUGUUAAUAUUAUGAUAGAUGUUCGAUUCAUCUUAGAGGCU
rnacentral:tRNA from 1 species